AAAGAGACUGAAGAAAUAUGGCGCACAGUGAAUGACAGAAUUUUCAGGUGUUUAGCUUUUUCAAUAACUUCUGCUGAUGAGAUGCAGCAACAGGAGGAGAAGAUAGUAAUUAAAAAGCGGAAGAAACUAUGCAGUAUCAGAGGGUGUACUAAUGAAAACAGCAGGAUGUUCUCCUUCCCCCAAGAGAGAAAGGAUAAGAAGAGGAUGGCGCAGUGGGUGGAAGUAUGUGACAACCCAAAGUCAGUGCUUCCACCUGAUUACUGAAAUUCCAGGUGAUCUGUAGCAGCUACUUUAAAGAAAGAUACUUCAUGAGGAAAAGAUUAACAACAUCAGCAGUUCCAACACUGAACUUACUUAUGUCAGAGACUGCUUUAAAUAGAGCAACAAGACACCUGGAUGGAAAUGAAAAAAAGAAGAUUUUAAACUUGACUGCACCAGGGGAGUGAAAAACGUGAUUUUCGAGAUAUUCUGAUGUAUGAGUGUGAUGCACACACACCCUGCCUGUAAGUAUGCGGACACCUUCUAAAACAGAAUACUCUUUUUAAAAUUGGACCAAAUAACUUAAAAUUCUUUGAGGAGCUAUAAAAAUUAAUAUACUAGAUGGGCCUGUAAUGAAGA